rnacentral:lncRNA from 1 species
GGGGUAUAUAAAACAUGCACGAAAAGACCAAAAUAGAAACACAAAAUAAGUUUAUAAACAAUAUGUUCAGUAUAUAUAUUAAACCAAAGUAGACCAGAAAGCCAACAGGCUUAAUUAUAACUCAUCCAAGGAGUGUCCAUAGACAUGAAAUCAUUAGAUAUGCCAAUCUCUCCUGUGAACUGCCAAAAUACAGACAGCAUGUUACAUGUCCAACCAGAGACAGUAAUAUAUUGCACUUUUACAUCCCAAUAAAAGAUGCACAUCACUCUGUUCCACAAGCAGCUUUGAGGCUCUCUGAUCACUGUUUGGUUCAUCUUAUACCGACCUACAAACAGAAACUUAAAUCUGCUAAACCUGUAGUAAGGACUGUGAAGAGAUGGACCAGCGAAACAGAGCAGGAUGAUUGGAGUGUUUUUGAAGCUGCUACCACCGAUCUGGAUGAACUCACAGAGACUGUAACAUCCUAUAUUAGUUUCUGUGAGGAUGUUUGCAUUCCUACCAGGACUUAUUUAACAUUCAACAAUGAUAAGCCAUGGUUUACAGUAAAACUCAGACAUCUUCGUCAGGCCAAAGAGGAUGCCUACAGAAAUGGGGACAGAGUCUUGUACAAUCAGGCCAGGAACACACUAAAGGAAGAGAUUAGAGCGGCUAAAAAGACCUACGCUAAAAAGUUGGAAGACCUGUUUACUUCCAACGACUCACCUUCAGUGUGGAGAGGACUGAGAGAUAUCACUUACUACAAGACACCAUCCCCCUGCACUGAGGCUAAUCAACGACUUGCUAACGACCUGAAUAAGUUUUAUUGUAGAUUUGAAACCCCCAACACCCAUUCUGACCAUCUUUCUACACAACCGUCAACAGCUCCUGCAAUCCCCCUCUUCACACCUCCUGCUCUUAAAAUCUGUGAAGAUGAUGUGCACCAGGUCUUCAGGAAGAACAAAAGAAGAAAAGCACCAGACCCAGAUGGCGUUACACCAGCCUUUCUGAAAACCUGUGCAGACCAGCUUGCCCCAUCUUUUCACAGAUCUUCAACAGAUCCCUGGAGUUGUGUGAAGUGCCUUCCUGCUUCAAACGCUCCACCAUCAUCCCCAUCCCAAAGAAACCCAAGAUAACACGAUUACAGACCUGUGGCUUUAACAUCUGUCGUCAUGAAGUCAUUUGAAAAACUGGUUCUGGCUUAUCUGAAGGAUAUC